GUGUCUGCGGCCCGUUGGCACGUUCCUUCCAUUUCAAUUCUGGACUCCCCAGAGUGGAUUCAUUUAUCCUAGCUUAUUUUUCAAUGUCAAGCCACAUCAGUCACCAAUGAUUGCCAGCUAGCCAAUGAAUGGGUCGUCUUCGAGCAUCCUGGCCCAAUCAGGGCGAAGAAGAGGAGAGGGCAGACAUGUGCCCGAGGUCAUGACUGUGUGGGGUAUAAGAACAGAUUGGGUCAGUAUGUGAGCAGACUGGCCAUGAUGGACACCUUCAGCAAAGAGGCCAGUGUCUUAACAUGACACCGUAUGAGAACAAAAUAAGUCUGACCCUGAACUUUUUAUACAGGAACACAUUGCCAAUCUCCAUUUUCAUCAUCUGAUAGCAGGAACAGCAUGUGAGGACCGCGGAUGAAUCGCCAACCUGUGCAGUUACCACCCAACCUCAGCCUACCAGGAGCACUCCAGCCCACACCAGAAACCACUCACGGAGCGGGCUCCCAACGACCAGGGCCGAGGUGCAGAGAGGAGCCUGGGUCCAUCCCUCCAGUGAUUUUGAGUGGUU